rnacentral:rRNA from 1 species
GAUGAACGCUGACAGAAUGCUUAACACAUGCAAGUCUACUUGAACUUCGUUUGGGUGGCGGACGGGUGAGUAACGCGUAAAGAACUUGCCUCACAGAUAGGGACAACAUUUGGAAACGAAUGCUAAUACCUGAUAUUAUGAUUUUAGGGCAUCCUAGAAUUAUGAAAGCUAUAUGCACUGUGAGAGAGCUAUGCGUCCCAUUAGCUAGUUGGAGAGGUAACGGCUCACCAAGGCGAUGAUGGGUAGCCGGCCUGAGAGGGUAAUCGGCCACAAGGGGACUGAGACACGGCCCUUACUCCUACGGGAGGCAGCAGUGGGGAAUAUUGGACAAUGGACCAAGAGUCUGAUCCAGCAAUUCUGUGUGCACGAUGAAGUUUUUCGGAAUGUAAAGUGCUUUCAGUUGGGAAGAAAAAAAUGACGGUACCAACAGAAGAAGUGACGGCUAAAUACGUGCCAGCAGCCGCGGUAAUACGUAUGUCACGAGCGUUAUCCGGAUUUAUUGGGCGUAAAGCGCGUCUAGGUGGUUAUGUAAGUCUGAUGUGAAAAUGCAGGGCUCAACUCUGUAUUGCGUUGGAAACUGCAUAACUAGAGUACUGGAGAGGUAAGCGGAACUACAAGUGUAGAGGUGAAAUUCGUAGAUAUUUGUAGGAAUGCCGAUGGGGAAGCCAGCUUACUGGACAGAUACUGACGCUAAAGCGCGAAAGCGUGGGUAGCAAACAGG